rnacentral:snoRNA from 1 species
UUAGAUGAUUAAAACUAAAGAUGUAACUAUUUUACUGAGGAUGUAUAUGCAGGACAAAAUAAUUAAGGAAUUCUUCGUUUAUGAUUUCUAA